GCUUGGAUAGCUCAGUUGGUAGAGCAUGUUGCUGAUAACACCAAGGUUGCAAGUUUGAUCCCUGUAUGGGACA